GCCAAAAAUUUAGCCACCCCAAUCAAAUGUUUAACAAAAACCCAAUCCAACCAACUAAAACAUUCUAAUAUCUUAGUAAAGGAGAUUGAAAAACCACUUAGAGCUAUACAACACAGUACCGCAAGGGAAAAAUGAAAUAAAAAUGAAAUAACUAUAAAGCACAAAAAAGUAGAGAUUACCUCUCGUACCUUUUGCAUCAUGGUUUAACUAGUCUAAUCAAGCAAAACGACUUAAAGUUUGACCUCCCGAAACUAAGCGAGCUACUUCAAGGCAGCUUAAUGAGCAAACCCGUCUCUGUAGCAAAAGAGUGGGAAGACCUUCAAGUAGCGGUGACAGACCUAACGAGCUUAGUGAUAGCUGGUUACUCAAGAAAAGAAUUUAAGUUCAACCUAAAAUUAAGCAAAUAAAAUAAAAUACAACCUUAAUUUUAGAGCAAUUCAAAUAAGGUACAGCCUAUUUGAAAAAGGACACAACCUAAGACACCGGGUAACCCAAACCCAACGCCCAACAAAGUGGGCCUAAAAGCAGCCAUCUAUUAAAAAGCGUCAAAGCUUAAUUGAGCCACUAAUUAAUUCCAACAUUAUUAAAGAACCCUUAAGUAAUACUGAGUAAUUCUAUAUAAAUAUAGAAGAUUUUAUGUUAAAACUAGUAACAAGAAGAAGAACUUCUCCUACAAUGCAUAUGUAAAUCAGACAGGACACCCCGCUGAUAAUUAACACCCAUGAACAUAAAAUAGCAACCACACAAGAAAACCCUACUAUAUUAUGUGUUAACCUAACACCAGAGCAUUUCAAGAAAGAUUAAAAGAAAAAGAAGGAACUCGGCAAAUAUUAACCUCGCCUGUUUACCAAAAACAUCGCCUCUUGAAUAAGCAUAAGAGGUCCAGCCUGCCCAGUGACCAUGUUCAACGGCCGCGGUAUCCUAACCGUGCGAAGGUAGCGUAAUCACUUGUUCUUUAAAUAAGGACUAGUAUGAACGGCACCACGAAGGUUAUACUGUCUCCUCUUUCUAAUCAGUGAAACUAAUCUCCCCGUGAAGAAGCGGGGAUAAGAAUAUAAGACGAGAAGACCCUAUGGAGCUUUAAACUAUAAAGCAAUUGCCCCCAUAUUAUUAAAUUUCAGAAAACCACUAUUACCAAGGCAAUAUGACUAUUAGUUUUAGGUUGGGGUGACCGCGGAGCAAAAAAUAACCUCCACAUUGAAAGGAGCCUACUCCUUAGCCAAGAGCCACACCUCUACGCACCAACAAAAAGACAUUAAUUGACCCAAUAUUUUGAUCAACGAACCAAGUUACCCUAGGGAUAACAGCGCAAUCCACUUCAAGAGCUCCUAUCGACAAGUGGGUUUACGACCUCGAUGUUGGAUCAGGGUAUCCCGGUGGUGCAGCCGCUACCAAAGGUUCGUUUGUUCAACGAUUAAAACCCUACGUGAUCUGAGUUCAGACCGGAGCAAUCCAGGUCAGUUUCUAUCUAUAAAGAGCUUUUUCUAGUACGAAAGGACCGAAAAAGCAUGGCCACUAUAAAAUAUAAGCCAUACCUAACAAUUUAUGACCAAUACUCAACAAAAACUUAGCCUAAUACUAACCUCAAGAAAAGAGAA
rnacentral:rRNA from 1 species